GAAUUAGUGAACUGGAAGAUGUCAGAGAAAUUAUGCAGAAUGUGGCACAAAGGGACAAAAAGGGAAAUGAUAGGUGAGAUUAAGAGACAUGGAGAAUAGUGAGGUCUAAUAGACAUUUAACUAGGUUUUUAGGGCCGAGGCCAUACAUAAACAGAAAAUGGCUGAGAAUUUUCUAGAACUGAUGAAAUAUGCCAACCCUCAGAUCCAAGGUCCCCCCAAAAUCCCAAGCUGGAUAAAUUAAAAGAAGUUCACAUCUAGAAAUAUAAUGGUGAAAUUGCAGAACACCAAGGAAACAAGAAAUCUCUAAUGUAGCUAUCAAGAAAGUCUGAGUACCUUGGACAGACUGACAUCUGGUCUCCCAACAUGAAUGCUGGAAGCCAAAAGACAGUGCAAUGAUAGACUAUGACCACCCAGGGAAAAUAUGUUUUCAAGGAUGAAAAUGAAAUAAAGACACUUUUCAGACUGAGAACAAUUUGCCUUUAUUUCUAGUGACACUUUUUUCUACCAGCAGACCCUCCUACAGGAAAGAAUAAAGGCUGUUUUCAGCCAAAAGGAAAGUGACUGCAGGUUUUAAAGCUGAAGUGCAAGAAGGAGCAAAGAGCAAAGAAAGUGAAGACUCACCCUGAGCUAACAUCUGCUGCCAAUCUUCCUCUUUUCGUAUUUGAGCCGCCGCCAGAGCAUGACCACUGACAGAUGAGAGGCGUAGGUCCAUACCCGGAAACCAACCCAGGGCCACCGAAGCAGAGCAGGCCGAACUUAACCACUAUGCCACCGGGGCUGGCCUACAUUUCACCAUUUUAGAAAGCAAAAUUGAGCAGAUGAAAAUCUACAAACAGUAGUAGAUGAACUAACUGACACUUCAGAGGACAGUGGGGAGAAUUAAAAAGUAUUCCAAAGGCCAAAGGGCACGUGAUUCACAACCCCUGUGGAAGGUGGCACCCUAGCAUGCAGGCUGCUCGCCUGUGGAUGUGCUGUCUUUCUUGGGGUCUUGACCACUUUAUUUUUUAAUUUAAUUUUUUUAACUUUUAUUGACUUAUUUUUUGUGUGUGAGGAAGAUUGUCGCUGAGCUAACAUCUGUGCCAAUCUUCUUCUAUUUUAUGUGGGAUGCUGCCACAGCAUGGCCUGAUGAUCAGAGCUAGGUUCCUGUCUGGGAUCCAAACCUGUGAACCUGGGUUGCUGAAGCAGAGCUUGGGAACUUAACCACUACACCACCAGGCCAGCCCCAUUGACCACUUUAACUCUGUGCCAUGAGCACAGAAGUUUUCACUAGAACUAUGCCACCACUAAUUAAGGUUUUGUGGAGAAAUUAUUUUCAAGAGUGAAUUUUAUCCAGCUGAUUUAAUUCCUGACCUCAAUGAACAGUUUAUAAAUUAUUUUUUCGAUUUUCAUUUGAAUGAAAUAAUUUUCAUCCUAUCAAUUUAACUCUUCAGUCCAUUUUUUUGGUCCACAUAAGAUUUUUCUGACUAUGCACCUACCAUUAUGAAUGCUCUCUUGAGGCUAUUGUUUCUACCGAGUCUAACUUUCCUGAGUCAAAUAUAAAGAUCUAAAUUCCAUCAUGUGCUGUUUCAGCCAAUGUCAUUUAAAAAAAAUCUGUGUUGAUAUUUGAAACAAGAAUAUUAAUUAUGUAUUAGAUAAAAGAUUGAUCAGUUGUAUGUGUUUACCCAUCCAUGAGAAAAUGUUCCCCAAUUGUUCUGUGGUCCAACACGGGAUCAUGGCCUUGCUAACCCAACACUUCCACACAUUUCCAGGCACUCUGUG
rnacentral:lncRNA from 1 species